rnacentral:rRNA from 1 species
GUAAGGAAUUUUGGACAAUGGGCGAAAGCCUGAUCCAGCCAUGCCGCGUGCAGGAUGAAGGCCUUCGGGUUGUAAACUGCUUUUGUACGGAACGAAAAGACUCCUUCUAAUAAAGGGGGUCCAUGACGGUACCGUAAGAAUAAGCACCGGCUAACUACGUGCCAGCAGCCGCGGUAAUACGUAGGGUGCAAGCGUUAAUCGGAAUUACUGGGCGUAAAGCGUGCGCAGGCGGUUAUAUAAGACAGAUGUGAAAUCCCCGGGCUCAACCUGGGAACUGCAUUUGUGACUGUAUAGCUAGAGUACGGUAGAGGGGGAUGGAAUUCCGCGUGUAGCAGUGAAAUGCGUAGAUAUGCGGAGGAACACCGAUGGCGAAGGCAAUCCCCUGGACCUGUACUGACGCUCAUGCACGAAAGCGUGGGGAGCAAACAGGAUUAGAUACCCUUGUAGUCC